rnacentral:lncRNA from 1 species
GUCCCUAAACUUGUUCCAGCUCCCUCAUUGGACAUUGGAGCUGUCCAUGCAGAGAGGCAGCAGGUGAUCUUACAGUCAGCUGGCUGCAGAGCUGGCAGGUCUGCUGGCUCUCUCUCUGGAGGACAGGAGGCUGCUGGAGCUGGAACCUCUGAAACAGAAAAGGAGUCAAAUGUUUGGAGCUGCAGUGAGAAAUGUCAGUCCUCUGCUCCUCUGCUCUCUUUGACAGCAUCUCCACAUGAAGCUGAAUCACUGCUGAACACAGCCACCAAGCCUUCAUUACCUUGUUGUGUUUGGGCCUCCACUGUGCCCCCCUCGUGCUUCACCCAGCAGCUGUAUUUAUAUGUGUCAGAAUCACUCCCAUCAACCAUCCUGAUGGCAAUGGUGCGUCCCGACUCUCUGAGCUCCAGCUGCUCUCCCUCAGCAGGGGGCAGCUCCUCCGGCUGGCUGUUCUUCUUCUGUCUUUUACAAGACAGCUGGACCAGAGGAGGAAACAUGGCUGGGGGCACACACAGCAGGGAGCUGUUCCCCUCCACGUGGACUCUGGGUCCUGCUGGUUAAACAACACAGAGUUUAUCUUCUGUUUUUCCUUUUAAUAAGUUUAUAAGAAAUAAUUGAAGGCAUCAAUGGUGACAUGGUGGUAUGGUAUUUAAUGCUGUAGUCUCAAAGCAAGACGGUUGUGGGUUUAGACCUGCUGGUCGGGUGGGGCUCUGCUGUGUGUUUGCAGGAACUCUCGGUGCCUGUGUCGUUCUUUUCUGGGUGCUCUGAUUUCCAUCUACAAUCCAAAUACAAGUUUGUUUAGCUUAAAAAAACUCUGUCCAUUUAUGACUUUUAUGGUUAGUGUAAUAAUAACAAAGAUAGUUAACAUAGUACUUUUUUUAAAUUUAAAAAUCCAAUUAAAAUUUCAGUGCUCAUAGAGUGAAGAUAAAAUCUUAAGUAUUUAAACGUUACAAACCUUUUAUAAAAUUAACAUAGGAAUAAUAUCUCAAAAUUGUCUUUUCAUAAACAUUUUUUUGUUCUUUUUAUGUAUGAAAUGAAACAUGGUUAUUACACUAUUUUAUUUGAUGAAGCAAAUAUAACUUGAUAUAAUAUAUUUGAUAAUAGUCAUUGAAUUAUAUUCACAUGUUUGUAGUGUCUGACAUGGUUAUUUAGAUCUCACACUUUCUUCUUGAUAUUUUUCAAAAAUGUAUUCAGUUAUUUUAAAUAUGAUUAAAAUAAUCUUAAACUGCCCAUCAGGAUAGGAACACAUUAGCUGGCACCAUUAUAUUUAAUUAAACAUUUAUUUUUUCAUUUCUUAUUAGCUGUAUUUUAUGUUAAAUAUUCUUCCAAAAUCUAUUAGUCUAACCAUUAAUAAUAUUUAUUAUUUUCCUCUUGAAGACACAUAAAUAUUGCUUAUAAAAAAUUUAUAUCUAAAUAAAAUAAAUUAUUAUUAUGUAAGUAAAUCAUUUUUGUUGUAAUUUUUUAACAGUAUAAAUUUUAAAGGAUAUUCUUAUUAUUCUUCAGAAAAAGUCUCUCUGAACAAUCACAUCUCUCAAGUUUAUUAUUUAAAUAUAACCAAAUCUCAGAUUUCUUUGUACUUUUUAUACCAAAAUUAUAAAUUUUAACAUCAAAUAUGAUCUUGUGUUCAAAAACCAGCAGAUGCUGCAGAAUUACUGAGAUGAUCAAAUCCUAAAUAUUUGUAACAUCACUAAUAUUUGCAGAAAUAAAGAAUAACUUUAGUUGUUCAGUGAGAUUUAAACAUGUUUUCAGAGAUUAUUGAGCUUUUCUUAUGUAACAAUGGCUGCAGAUGAAUUUUCUACUAAUGAUGAAAAAACUAACAUGUAAAGCCUGAAGCAGCAGAAACUGACUUUAAACACAUUUUCAGCUUCUACAAUAAAACAACUGAAGGAAAAUAAAUGUUUGUUCUUACCUGUUACAGACAGUUUAGUUCCAGAGCCAAAGAUGAGGUAGUAGCCAUAUCCUCUCACAGUGAGACAGACUGCUACAAAAACCUGUCUGCUGUUGAAUGUGUCAGCUGAGGUGAAUGAGUCCAAAUGAGGAAGCAGGAUCAUAUUUCAGCUCCAUGAUGUGUUUCUCUAAUGUUCAUAUCAACAUGACUGUGUCUUCUUCUCUUUUCUUAUCUUUAUUUAUACAAAGUAUAUUGUAUAAAUACAACAAUAUAUUUUUCACAAUAUAUACUCAUUCACUGUAUAUAAAGUUCUCUCUCUCUCUUUUGCACAGUCGAGGCGAGUAUCAGGUCACAUUUCACUGUGUGUUCUACUUGUAUAACUAUCCUGUUUAAUCCUGUGAUAAAUAUAGAAUCUUGAAUCUUUUCUUUUAGCCACACUAGCAGCAUGGCUCUAAUGUCAAUGUCAGUCUGUUGGUCAGUCCACUACUUUAAUCUACAUGGAUCAGAUUUGGACUAAAGGAUGGACUGAGAUUAAACUUUGUGUAGACAUUGUUAGUCUCCAGAGGAUCCACUUCAUUAACUGACUUUACUGAUUCUGGGUAUUUAAUCUAGUGUGACCAACAGAUUGGAUUUUGAGAUAAAACACUUAGAGUAGCUGACUUUAACAUUCAUGUGGAAACUGAAAAAACAAAACAAAAACAUGAGCCCUGUAUUUAAUUCAUUAUUAAACUCAAUCGACUUCAGAAUAAAUAUAAAUGAGCUGACUCAUCAUUUUAAUCAUUCUCAUGACAAAUACUUAAAAUGUAGAAGAAGAGUGUUCAACAGUGUUUCAUGAAAAUUCCUCAUUGACUGGUCAUUUUAAUAACAAUUAAAUGUACAUUAAAGAAUUACACAACGCUGUGGACUUAAGUUCAUUACAGAAGAAUCAUCAGACACGCCUGACUUCCUGGUAUGAGUUACAAAAUGCACACCUUGAAGCAGAAAACUUCUAAGCUGGAGAGGAAAUGCCAUUACACUAAUUUAGAAAAUCUUGCUGCUUAUAAACAAAGUCCUCCAUAAAUAUAGGGCAUCUUACUAUUCAUUAUUUUAUUUUAAUUCUUUUUUUUUUUUGCCUGUCCCGUUUGGUUCUUUACCCAUCAAAAUUGUUGUCUGAAGGCCAACCAAGAUACCCAAAGGAUUUACUUUACCAAAUGGAUCAUUACGGCCUUGCCGUAUUGGUCCAUUAGAUCGACCUUUGUUGUUAUUAUUUAUUUUAUUUUAUUUUAUUUUCAGUUGUUACAGAUGGGACAGAUAUGACUGGGGGAUAGGAAAGGGAGAAAGGAAGAGAGGAAGGAAAAGAAAAACAGAGGGGAAGAGGGACAGUGAGAAAGGACACUUAAAAAGAAAAAAAUAUGACUUCCGGGUAGGCUAUGAGAGGGUGAAGACGCGUGUAUCAGUGACUCCUGCGCCUGACUUGUUGAAAUUGCAAUAAUUAUCAAAGUAACACAUCUUUUUCUUAAAAAGCAAUACAGUGGUUGUCAAGAGCGCAUUCUUUUCAGAAAUGCCACCAAAAAAGACAAACCCGAAGCAAGUGGCGACUGAAGCGACCGACCUUGGUGAGGCCUCGGCUGAAAAUGCACGCCUGCUAGCUUUGCACAUGAGGAGUAUACACAAGGCAAUAAACAAGUGUUGUCUGCAAUUGCUUCUUUGGACGCCAAGAUAACUCAAAUGAAGGCGGACAUUUGUGAUACUCUGUGAGGGGAAAUUGCAGCGCUGAGGGCU